GGGGGGGGAUUGUAUGGAAUCAACACAUCAUCAGCAUUUGCAAGUUUGCAACUGAAGUUCUGCUGCGCGUCAUUAUACUCCAUCGCCAAGCUGCUGCCACUGCCGUUUCUCUGGAAUCAAUCAUAUUCCUUGGCAGGGUGAAGGCCAGGACAAAAGGUUCAGAUUAAUAGGAACAUGCAGCUUGGAGCCAAGAAGUCUGUGUGGCUAUAUUAUUUUCUGCCACCAAAAAUGACCGAACACAGUUUAUUUUCGAGAGUAUGUAUACCCUGAAGUUGGUAGAGGCACACAAAGAGCCAAACACCUUUGGUCAGAUCCAUGUUGCACUACGGCUACCAGAUGAAUAAGACAGUUUAGCUUGCAUUAGCACGAGGGUCCGCAUGCUUUUCUCUUCCAAACCUUACAGGAAUAUGCCCCCAGUGCUUGCAAUGUUGCUCAGGCUAGGAUGCUGGUUGCGCUGUUCAACAGGAGCUUUGGGACCGCACAUCAGAAGGGCAGGCUUCAGCUGUGCUGGAAGUCCAGACCUUUGAUCUCUGUGUCUGUUUGGACUCCUGUCUGAAAGGAAAUGAGUUUGUGAUUGUUCCAUUAGGGGCAAUUUUUCUUGUAGGAGUUUGCACUGGAGAUCUUUUUUUGUUGGAAGAUUAUUUGUAGAAUGCAACUAUGCACCCGAUUCUUCUAGUAAUUUUUAUCAGGUCGGUGCCUUGUUCAGUUGGCAAAAUUUUGAGAUUUCGGCUGCCGUAGCACUUUCGUUUGUAUUUACACACUUAGUAUGAUUUAUUGGAUGAUGGACUUGUUGGACUCAUUUAUUAUGGUUUAUGUGUGCUAUAUAUGUGGAUUUGCGUGA